rnacentral:rRNA from 1 species
UGGGGAAUAUUGCGCAAUGGGGGGAACCCUGACGCAGCCAUGCCGCGUGAAUGAAGAAGGCCUUAGGGUUGUAAAGUUCUUUCGGUAUUGAGGAAGGUUGAUGUGUUAAUAGCACAUCAAAUUGACGUUAAAUACAGAAGAAGCACCGGCUAACUUCGUGCCAGCAGCCGCGGUAAUACGGAGGGUGCGAGCGUUAAUCGGAAUAACUGGGCGUAAAGGGCACGCAGGCGGUUAUUUAAGUGAGGUGUGAAAGCCCCGGGCUUAACCUGGGAAUUGCAUUUCAGACUGGGUAACUAGAGUACUUUAGGGAGGGGUAGAAUUCCACGUGUAGCGGUGAAAUGCGUAGAGAUGUGGAGGAAUACCGAAGGCGAAGGCAGCCCCUUGGGAAUGUACUGACGCUCAUGUGCGAAAGCGUGGGGAGCAAACAGGAUUAGAUACCCUGGUAGUCCACGCUGUAAACGCUGUCGAUUUGGGGGUUGGGGUUUAACUCUGGCGCCCGUAGCUAACGUGAUAAAUCGACCGCCUGGGGAGUACGGCCGCAAGGUUA